rnacentral:misc_RNA from 1 species
GAUGAAGAACGUAGUGAAAUGCGAUACUUGGUGUGAAUUGCAGAAUCCCGUGAACCAUCGAGUCUUUGAACGCAAGUUGCGCCCGAAGCCACUAGGCCGAGGGCACGCCUGCCUGGGCGUCACACGCCGUUGCCCCCCCAUCUACUCCUUCGGGAUUGCGGGGGGGCGGAUGAUGGCCUCCCGUGCGCCUAGCCGCGCGGUUGGCAUAAAUACCAAGUCCUCGGCGACGCACGCCACGACAAUCGGUGGUUGCGAAACCUCGGUUGCCCGUCGUGUGCGUUCGUCGCGCAUCGAGGGCGCGAAAAAAUGCUCGGCUCCGGCUGGGCUUUCAACGCGACCCCAGGUCAGGCGGGGUUACCCGCUGAAUUUAAGCAUAUCAAUAAGCGGAGGA